rnacentral:rRNA from 1 species
GACGGAAGGUGCAAGCGUUGUUCGGAUUCAUUGGGCGUAAAGGGUGCGUAGGCGGCGCGGUAAGUCGGGUGUGAAAUCUCGGGGCUUAACUCCGAAACUGCAUUCGAUACUACCGUGCUUGAGGACUGGAGAGGAGACUGGAAUUUACGGUGUAGCGGUGAAAUGCGUAGAUAUCGUAAGGAAGACCAGUGGCGAAGGCGGGUCUCUGGACAGUUCCUGACGCUGAGGCACGAAGGCCAGGGGAGCAAACGGG